AAGCUGACGAGUCCCAAAUAGAACGAAACGCGCAUCCUGAAU
rnacentral:hammerhead_ribozyme from 1 species